rnacentral:lncRNA from 1 species
CCUAUGACAUGGUAAUCAAUAGUAUUACAUUUUCCAUCCAUAAUAGUACAAUUGAUAGUGCUACUUUUAUCUUCCAUGAUUGGCCAAUCAGUAAUAUCACAUUUUUAGCCGAUGAGGAGCAAUCUGUAAUAACAUGAUUAGUAUAAAGCACCAUACAUAUCAUUUAGUUAUAUAAGUCUCAAUUAUAUUAAUUAAAUAUAACCA